rnacentral:tRNA from 1 species
GUUUUUAUAGUUUAAAAAAAACCUUGAUUUUGUAAAUCAAUAUUAAGAAUAAUCUUUAAAAACU